GGACUACCAGGGUUUCUAAUCCCGUUUGCUCCCCUGGCUUUCGCGCUGUCAGCGUCAGUGUCGGCCCAGCAACCCGUCUUCACCUCAGGUGUUCCUCUCGAUAUCUACGCAUUUCACCGCUACACCGAGAAUUCCGAUUGCCCCUUCCGCACUCUAGCAAAGCAGUAUCACUUGACCGUUCCGAGUUAAGCCCGGAGAUUUCACAAGUGACUUGAAUUGCCGCCUACGCGCCCUUUACGCCCAGUAAAUCCGAACAACGCUUGCUCCCUACGUAUUACCGCGGCGGCUGGCAC
rnacentral:rRNA from 1 species